CCUACGGGGGGCAGCAGGGAGGAAUAGUGGUCAAUGGGCGCGAGCCGGAACCAGCCAAGUAGCGGGAAGGAUGACUGCCCUACGGGGUGUAAACUUCUUUUAUAAAGGAAUAAAGUGAGGCACGUGUGCCUUUUUGUAUGUACUUUAUGAAUAAGGAUCGGCUAACUCCGUGCCAGCAGCCGCGGUAAUACGGAGGAUCCGAGCGUUAUCCGGAUUUAUUGGGUUUAAAGGGAGCGUAGAUGGGUUGUUAAGUCAGUUGUGAAAGUGUGCGGCUCAACCGUAAAAUUGCAAUUGAUACUGGCAGUCUUGAGUACAGUUGAGGUAGGCGGAAUUCGUGGUGUAGCGGUUAAAUGCUUAGUUAUCACGAAGAACUCCGAUUGCGAAGGCGGCUUACUAGACUGCAACUUACGUUGAUGCUCGAAAGUGUGGGUAUCAAACAGGAUUAGAUACCCCAGUAGUA
rnacentral:rRNA from 1 species